GCUCACGCCGAUCUAUCGGAUCGUUUUAGAAACAUUCAGGGGCCAAUAGAUCGCCAGAUCGUUGAGCUCCAUAGGCGGGAUUUCGCCGUCUUCGUUUCUCUUUCUUCGCGGACGAACACGCGCCAGGGGGCUGCGCUGUGCGAUGCAUCUGGCGCAAGUCGGGUGCGUGCGAGCGAGCCUCGAUCCUUCAGGUAGGGAGAGCGUUGGGGCUUGUAGCUCAGUUGGUUAGAGCGCGCGCUUGAUAAGCGUGAGGUCGGAAGUUCAAGUCUUCCCAGGCCCACCACUUCAUCGAGUGUAUGUGUCUCUAAGUAGCUUGGCCUGUAGCAUUCGUCUUCUGGUUACGGGGCCAUAGCUCAGCUGGGAGAGCGCGUGCUUUGCAAGCAUGAGGUCGUCGGUUCGAUCCCGUCUGGCUCCACCAGAUGAAGUCGAAGAUCGACGCUGUAUGCACAGCUCGUCGUGACCAAAUCGUCCGCGAAACAUCAAUUCGCACGCGUUGUCCGCAAUCGGAUGCGCUGUGCGUGUUUUCUGACAUCGUAAAGAGGAGAUCGAUCCGAGUUGGGUCGCAUGGAAAUUCUAUGCGCAUCCUUCACUAUCUCCGGAUCAUUUCGGCGCUCGCGCCUUUUGCAGAUUAACGUCUGCAGGAUGUGCGGGUUGUAAAUGAUCCUGUUAGCGAAGCCUGACCGCCUCGCUAUCGGUUCGAUCUUACGAAGCAAGCUGGUCUUUCUAAUCAGUGUCCGCUGCACGAGCUCUCCUGGUGAAGGUUCGUGCGGUAUACAUUCUGCCGAGUGUGUGGACAUUGAUAAUGAGAGCAAUCAAGUGCCUUAAGGGUGUUCGGUGGAUGCCUUGGCGCUGAGAGGCGAUGAAGGACGUGCUACGCUGCGAUAAGCCGUGGG
rnacentral:misc_RNA from 1 species